AGGAUUCAGGGGUGUGGCCUCCCAUUGUUCAGGGUGGGUUCAUAAGACCGUGCCUCUGAGAGCUCUGGACCAGACCACCACAAGGCAUCAGGAUGGUGAAAGCAACUAAGAAGACACACUAUCUGACACAGGAUGUUGUGCCAUCAACUUCGGCAUCCAAACCCAAGACAGUGAAGAUUUGCCAUGGUCAGCCCUGUUCCAAAUGUAACAAGAAGAUAAGAAACCCCAAGGUGCAGGAGCCUAAGAAGAAGAGCAAGAAAACACUGCCAAGCAUGCCUAAAAGAAAGACUUCGAAGAAAACUACACCACCAAAAACAAAGGACCAAUAAAGGCGAGGGGAAAGAACUAUUCGGUCACUACCGCCCUUUGUUGAAAGAGCUGUCAACAGGUACUNNNNNNNNGGAAGAAGCUCGAACAUAGCAGCAAGUGAUUAAGAAUGCAAGUAGACUCAGCAUGCCAACCAAAGACCUGGAAAUCUGUGAAAUGGCUUGGUAGCUGAGCAAUGCCAAACUGUGUAGUCUGAAAAUAUCAGUACUACACACUGCUUUGACUCUGGUGAAAAUAAAAUCAAUCUGAUAUGAAAA
ensembl:lincRNA BC061195 cDNA sequence BC061195